rnacentral:rRNA from 1 species
CGACUAUGGAAGGCGCAUGGCUCGAGCAUCUACAUGGCUCUUGAGAGCGGAAGCAGGGUCGGGAUGAACCGCAAAGCUGAGCGCUUCAGCUUUGCGGUGCCUCUCCUGACCUCCCAGGUGGUCGCCUGAGGUACGCAAGAAUCGGCAAGUCACAAAACGGCAAUGGUGAACUCCGGCAGGAGUCCACCCCCCUUUUAUCCUUUUCUCUCCAUUCAGUUGUAUCAGGUGGAAGUCGAAUAAUCGGAAGUCUCUGUGUGUGAUGAAUCAAUGGAUGCUUCAAGUCCAUGUUUUGUUUUUCUCUUCCUUUAUUAUGUGUACUCUGGAAACACUACUAUAAAUGGCUGAUGUUCAUCUAGCAAAACCAC